rnacentral:rRNA from 1 species
UACGUAGGGUGCAAGCGUUGUCCGGAAUUAUUGGGCGUAAAGAGCUCGUAGGCGGUCUGUUGCGUCGGCUGUGAAAACCCGAGGCUCAACCUCGGGCCUGCAGCCGAUACGGGCAGACUAGAGUUCGGCAGGGGAGACUGGAAUUCCUGGUGUAGCGGUGAAAUGCGCAGAUAUCAGGAGGAACACCGGUGGCGAAGGCGGGUCUCUGGGCCGGAUAACUGAC